rnacentral:rRNA from 1 species
GAUGAACGCUGGCGGCGUGCCUAAUACAUGCAAGUCGAGCGAACGGACGAGAAGCUUGCUUCUCUGAUGUUAGCGGCGGACGGGUGAGUAACACGUGGAUAACCUACCUAUAAGACUGGGAUAACUUCGGGAAACCGGAGCUAAUACCGGAUAAUAUUUUGAACCGCAUGGUUCAAAAGUGAAAGACGGUCUUGCUGUCACUUAUAGAUGGAUCCGCGCUGCAUUAGCUAGUUGGUAAGGUAACGGCUUGCCAAGGCAACGAUGCAUAGCCGACCUGAGAGGGUGAUCGGCCACACUGGAACUGAGACACGGUCCAGACUCCUACGGGAGGCAGCAGUAGGGAAUCUUCCGCAAUGGGCGAAAGCCUGACGGAGCAACGCCGCGUGAGUGAUGAAGGUCUUCGGAUCGUAAAACUCUGUUAUUAGGGAAGAACAUAUGUGUAAGUAACUGUGCACAUCUUGACGGUACCUAAUCAGAAAGCCACGGCUAACUACGUGCCAGCAGCCGCGGUAAUACGUAGGUGGCAAGCGUUAUCCGGAAUUAUUGGGCGUAAAGCGCGCGUAGGCGGUUUUUUAAGUCUGAUGUGAAAGCCCACGGCUCAACCGUGGAGGGUCAUUGGAAACUGGAAAACUUGAGUGCAGAAGAGGAAAGUGGAAUUCCAUGUGUAGCGGUGAAAUGCGCAGAGAUAUGGAGGAACACCAGUGGCGAAGGCGACUUUCUGGUCUGUAACUGACGCUGAUGUGCGAAAGCGUGGGGAUCAAACAGGAUUAGAUACCCUGGUAGUCCACGCCGUAAACGAUGAGUGCUAAGUGUUAGGGGGUUUCCGCCCCUUAGUGCUGCAGCUAACGCAUUAAGCACUCCGCCUGGGGAGUACGACCGCAAGGUUGAAACUCAAAGGAAUUGACGGGGACCCGCACAAGCGGUGGAGCAUGUGGUUUUAUUCGAAGCAACGCGAAGAACCUUACCAAAUCUUGACAUCCUUUGACAACUCUAGAGAUAGAGCCUUCCCCUUCGGGGGACAAAGUGACAGGUGGUGCAUGGUUGUCGUCAGCUCGUGUCGUGAGAUGUUGGGUUAAGUCCCGCAACGAGCGCAACCCUUAAGCUUAGUUGCCAUCAUUAAGUUGGGCACUCUAAGUUGACUGCCGGUGACAAACCGGAGGAAGGUGGGGAUGACGUCAAAUCAUCAUGCUCCUUAUGAUUUGGGCUACACACGUGCUACAAUGGACAAUACAAAGGGCAGCGAAACCGCGAGGUCAAGCAAAUCCCAUAAAGUUGUUCUCAGUUCGGAUUGUAGUCUGCAACUCGACUACAUGAAGCUGGAAUCGCUAGUAAUCGUAGAUCAGCAUGCUACGGUGAAUACGUUCCCGGGUCU